UACGUAGGGGGCAAGCGUUGUCCGGAAUCAUUGGGCGUAAAGCGCGCGUAGGCGGCCCGGUAAGUCCGUUGUGAAAGUCAAAGGCUCAACCUUUGAACGCCGAUGGAUACUGCCGGGCUAGAGUCCGGAAGAGGCGAGUGGAAUUCCUGGUGUAGCGGUGGAAUGCGCAGAUAUCAGGAAGAACACCGACGGCGAAGGCAGCUCGCUGGGACGGUACUGACGCUGAGGCGCGAAAGCGUGGGGAGCGAACAGG
rnacentral:rRNA from 1 species